GGGGCGAGAAUAAGUAGUCGAAUUCCACCAAAGAUAAUUGCAUUAUUAUGCUAAAAACUUACAAUGGUGGCCAGUGGCCUAUUUACAAUGUUGCAUAGUCUUCUGACUACGGAUAGAAUUGAUAGAGAUGCUCGAUGUUCCACGAGUUGUCGGCAUCUUCGCCAGAGAGGUAUUGUAGCCUAUACGAUCCUAGGCCUAUGACCUUGGAUACAAUGUGCGGCCCUUCCCAUGGCGAAUUAAGCUUGUGCAGCCCCUUGGUAUCUUGGAUAUGCUUGAGGACCAUGUCACCUAUGUUAAAAGAACAUUCUUUGACGUUGC
rnacentral:lncRNA from 1 species